CGGGCUUCUCGCAGAGGAGGCAGGUGGAAAGAGGGAGGGGUCUGUGCGCCCGCAGAGUCGCCAGGCGCCCUGCGAGUUGUCUCCGCUGGGAGGGGCGAGGCUGUCACUUGCCAGGGCGCGAGGAGCCUCAGCGCGGCUUGGAGAACUUGGCCCCGCGCAGCGUCUGGUCACUCGCUCUCCUCUGGGGACUGCAGAGAAGCAGGACCUCGGGCCAUGGAAUGCAGUAGUGACUUCUGAACUCCUAUAUGCUGG
rnacentral:lncRNA from 1 species